UACGGAGGAUGCGAGCAUUAUCCGGAUUUAUUGGGUUUAAAGGGUGCGUAGGCGGGCUUUUAAGUCAGCGGUAAAAAUGCGGCGCUCAACGCCGUCGAGCCGUUGAAACUGGGGGCCUAGAGUGGGCGAGAAGUAUGCGGAAUGCGUGGUGUAGCGGUGAAAUGCAUAGAUAUCACGCAGAACUCCGAUUGCGAAGGCAGCAUACCGGCGCCCUACUGACGCUGAGGCACGAAAGCGUGGGUAUCGAACAG
rnacentral:rRNA from 1 species